CCGUCAGUCUCAGAAUAUAUCCCUCGAGCUCCUCAAUUCGUGCGGACUGAGCUGUAAGCAUCUGAAAGAUAGUAGAGAUAUGAGGGAUCAUAGUCUAAUCUGAAAUAGCCUGAGAUAUCAUCCUCUGAGUAAAACCUGAGGUGGCAAACUGCUGAGAUAAAAUAGAGACAACCUGCUGAAAAAUCAACUGAAUCUGAUCGUCUGC
rnacentral:lncRNA from 1 species